UUAUGGCCAUGUCACAUUGAAACACUGGUUCGCAUACAAUCACCAAAGUUAAGCAACGUCAACCCUGCUCAGUACCUAGAUAGGUGACCACUUGGAAAUACCAGGUGCUGUAAG
rnacentral:rRNA from 1 species